rnacentral:rRNA from 1 species
UGGGGAAUCUUGCGCAAUGGAGGAAACUCUGACGCAGCAACGCCGCGUGUGUGAAGAAGGCCUUCGGGUCGUAAAGCACUGUCAGGAGGGAAGAGCACCGGAUUUUACGAGUCCGGCUCGACGGUACCUCCGAAGGAAGCACCGGCUAACUCCGUGCCAGCAGCCGCGGUAAUACGGAGGGUGCAAGCGUUGUUCGGAAUCAUUGGGCGUAAAGCGUGCGCAGGCGGCCUGUUAAGUCUGGUGUGAAAACCCGGGGCUCAACCCUGGAGGUGCAUUGGAAACUGGCAGGCUUGAAUCCGAGAGGGGUCAGUGGAAUUCGUGGUGUAGGGGUGAAAUCCGUAGAGAUCACGAGGAACACCGGCGGCGAAGGCGACUGACUGGAUCGGUAUUGACGCUGAGGCACGAAAGCGUGGGGAGCAAACA